CAGCAUUACUGUGUGAGCUCCGCCUCCCGUCCGAACAUUAUUGUGUGAGCUCCGCCUCCCGUCAGAUCAUUACUGUGUGAGCUCCGCCUCCCGUCACAGCAUUACUGUGUGAGCUCUGCCUCCUGUCCAAGUAUUACUGUGUGAGCUUCGCCCCCUGUCAUCAUUACUGGUGCACAGCCAGAGAACAACACAUCACACACAGGAAACAGUUGUGCUCAUGUGAUGGGGGCCUCAGCACUAGGAAGGAGUGGACUAUUGGCACACGCAGCAGCUUGAAUAAAUCUGAAAGUCACUACGCUGCAUAAGAGAAGCCAAAUUUUAAAAGUGCAUACUGUGUACAGAGGGUGUCGAGAAUGCCUCCUACGUGACGGAAAGCAGAUCUGUGGUUCCCUGCAGACUGGCAGGAGCAGAUUCCAAAGGCACAGGAAGAAGCUUGUGGGUAGAGUGUGUUCAUUAUCUUCUGUGCAUUACACCAUAAAAAAGCUGGUCAUAAAAAUGCGAACCAAAAACAAAGGUGAAACUAGGAUAAAAUUUCUCACCUGUGUGAUUGGUAAAUGUGCAGGUUUGACAUCAUGCUUUGUUUAUGAAGCUGUGGGAUACAAGGACUCUCAUACGUCACUGUGGAAUGCAGAACAUUGCAACCUCAUGGAAGAGGAUUUGGCAGCAUCUAACAAAAGUAUGUGGCAUUUGCCCUUUGGCUCAGCAAUUCUAGACUCUGCCUCAAAAAAAACUCUGGCAAAAAACUGAAAGGACUUUACUCACAGAAUUCUUUUCACGCCUAA
rnacentral:lncRNA from 1 species